AGCACAAGUGAUGAACAACGAAGGGACUUAAUUCUGAAACCUGAUGUUGCACUGCGAUGUGCUGAUGUGC